rnacentral:rRNA from 2 species
ACGGGUGAGUAAUGUAUAGGAAUCUACCUAGUAGUACGGAAUAAUUGUUGGAAACGGCAACUAAUACCGUAUACGCCCUACGGGGGAAAAAUUUAUUGCUAUUAGAUGAGCCUAUAUUAGAUUAGUUAGUUGGUGAGGUAAAGGCUUACCAAGACAAUGAUCUAUAGCUGAUCUGAGAGGAUGAUCAGCCACACUGGAACUGAGAUACGGUCCAGACUCCUACGGGAGGCAGCAGUGGGGAAUAUUGGACAAUGGGCGAAAGCCUGAUCCAGCCAUGCCGCAUGAGUGAAGAAGGCCUUCGGGUUGUAAAGCUCUUUUAGUGAGGAAGAUAAUGACGGUACUCACAGAAGAAGUCCUGGCUAACUCCGUGCCAGCAGCCGCGGUAAUACGGAGAGGGCUAGCGUUAUUCGGAAUCAUUGGGCGUAAAGGGCGCGUAGGCGGGUUAGUAAGUUAAAAGUGAAAUCCCAAGGCUCAACCUUGGAACUGCUUUUAAAACUGCUAGUCUAGAGAUUGAAAGAGGAUAGAGGAAUUCCUAGUGUAGAGAUGAAAUUCGUAAAUAUUANGAGGAACACCAGUGGCGAANGCGUCUAUCUGGUUCAAAUCUGACGCUGANGCGCGAANGCGUGGGGAGCAAACNGGA